rfam:Virgibacillus sp. SK37, complete genome.
AAUACCUUUAAAGUAGUCCAGAGAGACUAAAAAGGGUCGGAAAUGUACAUAGUUAUAUAACUAUGCCCUUUUGUCCUCUGUAGACAAAGGGCAUUUUUUAA